UCGGGGCAAUGCAGGUCAUUUUCGUCGGAGGACGGUUAACUGGCGGCGGUUUCUCGGCAGGGGAGAAUCCAUUCACUCCAAAAGCAUCUCUGAUUCGUUACUGGAACAAAGAGAUCAGUGCCGACAAAUCUCUCAGAUCAGAGUUCCUAAUCUCCAAGGCGUCACCGCUUAACGCCGUAGACUCAGCCACUUUCGCCAAACUGGCCGCCCAAAACUCACUCCCAACCCGUCUCUCCGACUUCUGCUCCGCCGCGAACCUCUUCUGCUUCCCGGACCUGACCCCGAGCCUCGAGAAGCACGACGACAACGUCAAGUUCUCCGUCUACGACCAAAAAAACUUCAGCACCUACGGCGACGCACGUGCCGCCGGCGCCGACUCGUUCAAAACCUACUCAAAAGGCAACAACGGCGCCAUGGACACUUUCCGGAGAUACAGCCGCAACGCGGCGGGUCACGAAGAUAAGUUCACCGUCUACGGCGAGAGAGGCAACGUCGACGAGAAGGACUUCAACUCCUACGGAACCUUCGGAGCCGGCGGCGCCGGAGACUUCACCAACUACCAAAACGACGUUAACGACCCGAUGAGUCGAUUCACGGCGUAUUCCGACGGCGGAACCGGAAGGUCCCAGACUUUCAAAACCUACACGCACGACGCCAACGCCGGCAACGGCCAAUCGUUCACUAGCUACAGCAAAAAGGGAAACGCGUCGCCGAACGAGUUCGCCUCGUACGGCGACUCAUCCAACGUGAUCGGCUCUGAUUUCAAGAACUACGGCGAGGAAGAAAACGCCGCCAAAGAUACCUUCACCAGCUACGCGAGCGGCGGCAACGUACCGCUUAACAACUUCAAAAACUACGGCGAGUCCGUUAUAUUUAUACUAAGAUCAUACAACUAUACACAAUUAAUGUAACUAGUAAAUAAAUUAAGUUGAUAUAUUUUGAAUUUAAAUGUGUAAGUUUUUGGUGGUUGUCAAGAAAAUAUAAUGGGUGUAGGCUUUUUUCGGCUUCUCUCUAUAUAUAUACUACACAAUCUGCUCUCAAAAUUAACAAGCCCACCAAUCUCUUCUCUGCUUCACACUAAGAACCAAACAUGCUCAAACCGUUGCUUCUUCUCCAAUCCUUAUUCUUCUGUCUCUUCAAUGUAAGCAAACUCUUUGAAUCUUUAUAACUACUGUUUUGUUCUGUUCUGAUUUCUUGUUGUCGGGGCAAUGCAGGUCAUUUUCGUCGGAGGACGGUUAACUGGCGGCGGUUUCUCGGCAGGGGAGAAUCCAUUCACUCCAAAAGCAUCUCUGAUUCGUUACUGGAACAAAGAGAUCAGUGCCGACAAAUCUCUCAGAUCAGAGUUCCUAAUCUCCAAGGCGUCACCGCUUAACGCCGUAGACUCAGCCACUUUCGCCAAACUGGCCGCCCAAAACUCACUCCCAACCCGUCUCUCCGACUUCUGCUCCGCCGCGAACCUCUUCUGCUUCCCGGACCUGACCCCGAGCCUCGAGAAGCACGACGACAACGUCAAGUUCUCCGUCUACGACCAAAAAAACUUCAGCACCUACGGCGACGCACGUGCCGCCGGCGCCGACUCGUUCAAAACCUACUCAAAAGGCAACAACGGCGCCAUGGACACUUUCCGGAGAUACAGCCGCAACGCGGCGGGUCACGAAGAUAAGUUCACCGUCUACGGCGAGAGAGGCAACGUCGACGAGAAGGACUUCAACUCCUACGGAAC
rnacentral:lncRNA from 1 species